rnacentral:rRNA from 1 species
GACGAACGAGGGAGGGGGGAGGAACACAUGCAAGUCGAACGGAAAGGCCCUGCUUUUGUGGGGUGCUCGAGUGGCGAACGGGUGAGUAACACGUGAGUAACCUGCCCUUGACUUUGGGAUAACUUCAGGAAACUGGGGCUAAUACCGGAUAGGAGCUCCUGCUGCAUGGUGGGGGUUGGAAAGUUUCGGCGGUUGGGGAUGGACUCGCGGCUUAUCAGCUUGUUGGUGGGGUAGUGGCUUACCAAGGCUUUGACGGGUAGCCGGCCUGAGAGGGUGACCGGCCACAUUGGGACUGAGCUACGGCCCAGACUCCUACGGGAGGCAGCAGUGGGGAAUAUUGCACAAUGGGCGGAAGCCUGAUGCAGCAACGCCGCGUGCGGGAUGACGGCCUUCGGGUUGUAAACCGCUUUCGCCUGUGACGAAGCGUGAGUGACGGUAAUGGGUAAAGAAGCACCGGCUAACUACGUG